rnacentral:rRNA from 1 species
GAAUUCACUAGUGAUUCAGGCCUAACACAUGCAAGUCGAACGCCCCGCAAGGGGAGUGGCAGACGGGUGAGUAACGCGUGGGAACGUACCCUUUACUACGGAAUAACUCAGGGAAACUUGUGCUAAUACCGUAUGUGCCCUUCGGGGGAAAGAUUUAUCGGUAAAGGAUCGGCCCGCGUUGGAUUAGCUAGUUGGUGGGGUAAAGGCCUACCAAGGCGACGAUCCAUAGCUGGUCUGAGAGGA